rfam:Salmo salar isolate Sally breed double haploid chromosome ssa26, whole genome shotgun sequence.
UGCACUCACUACUGUAAGUCGCUCUGGAUAAGAGCGUCAGCUAAAUGACUAUAA